AAUUGUUUAUACUACAGAACGGAGUCAGAAGUUCGUGAGCGACAGAAUCUCCGAACUUGGGUCUCUUCUUCCACUUCAUGAAAACACUCGUUUGUCUGGUCAAACGACAAGCGACAUUUUGAGUGAAACAAUAAACUAUAUCAAACAGCUUAAAAAGGAAUCUGAUCAGAGUCAAGCAUUUAGAGAAAAAAAUCAAAAGUCUCUGUAUGCAAUGCGUGACUAUGACGAUAAGACUUAAACAUCUCCAGGGCAACAUCAAUAAGGAGAAUGUUCCGCUUGAUGCAGACAUAUAACGAAAAAUAAACAAACAUUAGGAAAACAGAAUGCACACAUACACCUAUAAAUUAAUUCGAUGUCAUAUCAAAACUUAGAGUUGAUUUAAAUUUAUAUUUUCUUAAAAAUAAAAAUGCUUCAAUGAAGUCAUUGCCUUAUGUAAUCGUUUUAAAUAUCCUUCUGGAAGUUGAUC